rnacentral:rRNA from 1 species
GACGAACGCUGGCGGCGUGCCUAAUACAUGCAAGUUGAGCGCUGAAGGUUGGUACUUGUACCAACUGGAUGAGCAGCGAACGGGUGAGUAACGCGUGGGGAAUCUGCCUUUGAGCGGGGGACAACAUUUGGAAACGAAUGCUAAUACCGCAUAAAAACUUGAAACACAAGUUUUAAGUUUGAAAGAUGCAAUUGCAUCACUCAAAGAUGAUCCCGCGUUGUAUUAGCUAGUUGGUGAGGUAAAGGCUCACCAAGGCGAUGAUACAUAGCCGACCUGAGAGGGUGGUCGGCCACAUUGGGACUGAGACACGGCCCAAACUCCUACGGGAGGCAGCAGUAGGGAAUCUUCGGCAAUGGACGAAAGUCUGACCGAGCAACGCCGCGUGAGUGAAGAAGGUUUUCGGAUCGUAAAACUCUGUUGGUAGAGAAGAACGUUGGUGAGAGUGGAAAGCUCAUCGAGUGACGGUAACUACCCAGAAAGCGACGGCUAACUACGUG